UACGUAGGGGGCGAGCGUUGUCCGGAAUUAUUGGGCGUAAAGAGCGUGUAGGCCGUUCGGUAAGUCUGCCGUGAAAACCUGAGGCUCAACCUCGGGCGUGCGGUGGAUACUGCCGGGCUAGAGGACGGUAGAGGCGAGUGGAAUUCCCGGUGUAGCGGUGAAAUGCGCAGAUAUCGGGAGGAACACCAGUAGCGAAGGCGGCUCGCUGGGCCGUUCCUGACGCUGAGACGCGAAAGCGUGGGGAGCGAACAGG
rnacentral:rRNA from 1 species